CCUACGGGUGGCAGCAGUGGGGAAUAUUGCGCAAUGGGCGAAAGCCUGAUGCAGCAACGCCGCGUGAAUGCAGAAGGCUUUCGGGUUGUAAACUUCUUUUGUCAGGGACGAAGCAAGUGCCGGUACGUGACGAAUAAGUCACGGCUAACUACGUGCCAGCAGCCGCGGUAAUAAGUAGGUGGCAAGCGUUAUCCGGAUGUAUUGGGUGUAAAGGGCGUGUAGGCGGGAAUGCAAGUCAGAUGUGAAAACUAUGGGCUCAACCCAUAGCCUGCAUUUGAAACUGUAGUUCUUGAGUGUUGGAGAGGCAAUCGGAAUUCCGGGUGUAGCGGUGAAAUGCGUAGAGAUACGGAGGAACACCAGUGGCGAAGGCGGAUUGCUGGACAGUAACUGACGCUGAGGCGCGAAAGCGUGGGGAGCAAACAGGAUUAGAUACCCUUGUAGUC
rnacentral:rRNA from 1 species